CCUACGGGCGGCAGCAGUGGGGAAUAUUGGGCAAUGGGCGCAAGCCUGACCCAGCAACGCCGCGUGAAGGAAAAAGGCUUUCGGGUUGUAAACUUCUUUUCUCAGGGACGAAGAAAGUGACGGUACCUGAUGAUUAAGCCACGGCUAACUACGUGCCAGCAGCCGCGGUAAUACGUAGGUGGCAAGCGUUAUCCGGAUUUAUUGGGUGUAAGGGGCGUGUAGGCGGGAGCGCAAGUCAGAUGUGAAAACUCAGGGCUCAACCCUGAGCCUGCAUUUGAAACUGUGUUUCUUGAGUGCUGGAGAGGCAAUCGGAAUUCCGUGUGUAGCGGUGAAAUGCGUAGAUAUACGGAGGAACACCAGUGGCGAAGGCGGAUUGCUGGACAGUAACUGACGCUGAGGCGCGAAAGCGUGGGGAGCAAACAGGAUUAGAUACCCUUGUAGUC
rnacentral:rRNA from 1 species